rnacentral:rRNA from 1 species
AGGACGAACGCUGGCGGCGUGCUUAACACAUGCAAGUCGAGCGAGGCCCUUCCUUCGGGAAGGUGUCCUAGCGGCGAACGGGUGAGUAACACGUGGGCAACCUGCCCUCAGCUCUGGGAUAACUCCGGGAAACCGGGGCUAAUACCGGAUACGACCUCUAAGGGCAUCCGAAGAGGUGGAAAGUUUUUCGGCUGAGGAUGGGCCCGCGGCCUAUCAGCUUGUUGGUGGGGUGACGGCCUACCAAGGCGACGACGGGUAGCCGGCCUGAGAGGGUGACCGGCCACACUGGGACUGAGACACGGCCCAGACUCCUACGGGAGGCAGCAGUGGGAAUAUUGCGCAAUGGGCGAAAGCCUGACGCAGCGACGCCGCGUGAGGGACGAAGGCCUUCGGGUUGUAAACCGUCUUUCAGCAGGGACGAAGCGAAAGUGACGGUACCUGCAGAAGAAGCACCGGCCAACUACGUGCCAGCAGCCGC